rnacentral:rRNA from 1 species
UUGAAAGGGAAACGAUUGAAGUCAGUCAUCCUAAUAGGGAAUCAACCUGAUGGGUCGUUCCCCCGGGAGCAAUCUAUCUCGUGCACCGCCUUGUUCGGCAGCUUAGCCUCAAUUUCGCAUGCCAUCAAAAAAUGGAGGGAACGUGACUUCUUUCGGGAAGUGUUAUAGCCCUUGAUAGAUGUGGUGAUCGGGAUUGAGGAUUGCAGCGGAUGCUCUUGGGCUAAUCACCUACCUUCUGACGAAUACCCCCCUUUCCAUAAAGCUCUCACAAGGGAUCAAAGCAGCCGUCCAAGUAGGUGAAAACGACAUAAAUUCGUUAAGGAUGUUGACGUA